GAUGAACGCUGGCGGCGUGCCUAAUACAUGCAAGUAGAACGCUGAAGGAGGAGCUUGCUCUUCUGGUUGAGUUGCGAACGGGUGAGUAACGCGUAGGUAACCUGCCUGGUAGCGGGGGAUAACUAUUGGAAACGAUAGCUAAUACCGCAUGACAACAGUUAUUGCAUGAUAACUGUUUAAAAGGGGCAACUGCUCCACUACCAGAUGGACCUGCGUUGUAUUAGCUAGUUGGUGAGGUAACGGCUCACCAAGGCGACGAUACAUAGCCGACCUGAGAGGGGGAUCGGCCACACUGGGACUGGGACACGGCCCAGACUCCUACGGGAGGCAGCAGUAGGGAAUCUUCGGCAAUGGACGGAAGUCUGACCGAGCAACGCCGCGUGAGGGAAGAAGGGUUUCGGAUCGUAAAGCUCUGUUGUAAGAGAAGAACGAGUGUGAGAGUGGAAAGUUCACACUGUGACGGUAUCUUACCAGAAAGGGACGGCUAACUACGUG
rnacentral:rRNA from 1 species